UUUGCAGAAGUGUUCAGGGCUGCUUUGUCAGUGGUUUGGCUGAGGAUACAGGUUACAAAUCCUGGGUCUUUCUGGUAGGUAUAACUGGCUGGGAGCGACGUCGGAAAACAGAGAUGUGUUGAUGAUGGGUGGCUGUUGGAUGCCUGUUAACAAGUAACAGCCUGUUGUGCCUGUAACUACCUGGUGGCUUUGGGCACGUGCUUCAGCAGUCCAUUUUCACUGGGCUGAUUUGACAGUGGUGGCAGUGAUAGGCAGAUCUUUCUGUAAGAGCCUGGUGUGAUGAGUGCAGCUGGGAUGAGAGGCUUUUUGUCCAGCUGUUUGGUGAGGUUGUGUGGGGGAAAGUGUCCCUGUGACUGUAUUUUUAGGUACUGCAGGUGUUUCCUGUACCUGUCUUUGUUGGUUUGCCCUGCUGCUUCUGCUAAUAACCAUUUUCUUCAGUACCAUUCUGAUUUGUCAACUUGUGUUAUUACUCAAGUGGAGCAGGCCUGUUAUUAUUUCUGCUGGUGCCAGCUUGUUUUAGCAUUACCUUGGUAAUUCCCAGCCCUUCCCGGUGAAGUCUCUGUUUCUCCCUGGGGUUGUGUGGCACUGCCAGCCGUAGCUCUGCCGAUGGAGCCUCCGGGGUUUGGGAAGGCACUUUGUGUGUCAUCCUAACAAGUUGUUCACGACUUCAGGCACGGGGCUUCUGAUUCGGCUGCUGAGAGGACUUGGAUAAAGAAGAAAGGACUGUGUUUUUUCUGACGGCUGCAAAUGAAAAAGCUUUUCGCUCGGGAGUCGUGGAUCAUAUUUAUGGAAAUGUGGAGAGCGGUCGCAAUAUUUAUAGCAGUUACAGGAGCGAUUGAAUCUAUCUUUUAUUGAUACAUAUUUACAUGCCCACAGAAAUCCUAUUGCUCUGUAGCUGAGAGAAUUUUAUUUGGAUUUAGUAUUUUGAAGUAAUUUUUUAGUGCUUCUCUAUUAUCCAAGGAGUGCAAGAUUCGAUAUUUCAAGUAGAGCUGUCACCGAGCAGCCGGAGGUUUUUAAAAGAUUUUUGUUUUACAUAAAGAUAAAUGUUGAAGACACAUUUUUCAGAGACACCAUCUGUUCCGUGUUGACCUUAAUUUUCCGGAUGAGUGCUUUUCCUCAAACGUUUUAAGUCUUGUCUACAUUUCAUUUGCUUGGGAGUGUUUAGGAUAUUUGUUGAACAGGAAAUCAGAUAUUCAGAAUGCAAACACACCAUUACGUUGCAAAUUAUUGCCUUUGUAUAAUUUAGCAAACUGCUGGGUAAAUAGUUCUGCAGACUGGCAGGGGCAACGCUGCCUCUGACAUCUGGCAGAUCGGCUUUUGGUGGGGCUGCAUCUCACAGAAUCACAGAACCGUUUGAGUUGCCAAGUCCUAAAGGCCAUUUGGUCCAACUCCCUUGCAGUGAACGGGGACACCCACAGCUAGAUAGGGGUGCUCAGAGCCACAUCCAGCCUGACCUUGAAUAUCUCCAGCUAUGGGGUAUCCACCGUCUCCCUGGGCAAUCUGUUCCAGUGUCUCACCACUCAUAUUGUAAAAAACUUCCUUAUAUCCAACCUAAAUUUCUCCUCUUUGAGUUUUAAACUCGUUGUCCUAUGGCAACAGACCGUUCUGAAGAGUUUCUUGUGAGAGCCAGCGCGGCUGGCUUAUAGAUGCCGAGCAAGAAAUAUGGAGGUCCCAUUGUGACAACGGUGCGUAAAUGGCUCUGGCCUGCUCUGUAGGUGCUUUGUAGGGACAGGGAUAGGAUAAGGGCUUGUGUCUUUGUGGCCCUGGAGCAGUUUGCUCUUCAGACAGAAUAAUGAUUAGUUUUGCAAGGUAAAAAUAAAUUUGUUUCUGCACAUUUGCUUUUUCAUGAUGAAAACCGACUUGAUGUCGGUAGCAUCGUCAUAAAAUGAUGGGUUAAAACCAUUUGAUUGUGUGCUCAUUACAUUUCUGUAGAUAGUUCUGCAGCAAGUGGUCUGUUUCACUUUGUACAAAUAAUUAUUUUGAGACAAAACAUCCAACUUAUAUGUGAUUUAAAGGAGGUAUUCUUUAAACUCUGCUUUUGCUUGCAUAUGGUCAUAGCUACACAGCAGCAGUUAAGUGUAUGUAGGGUGACAAGAGGUAUUUUGGUCUACUGUGUUGCAAGUUAACUAUGAAAUCAUUGUAGAGCUAUUUGGAAGAGUGCAACCGUGUUUCUUAAGUUGGUAUGAGAGAGUUGAAAGCAAAAUGCUUAUCCGUGUGACUAUCUGAACUGCCUUGAGGUGGCACUAGAUAGAAUGUUUGUUGUAAACGUCUGGGGCUUGGGAACGCUGCUGCUUCCUGCUGGCCCAUAGGAGAGGUCAGCACAAGCAGAGUGGCCGGAGGAGAAGGAAUGUGGGUUUUGAGAAUUUUUUUUCAAAUUCACUUUUCACAGGAAUGAAUUCAAGUCACUGUUUUGAAUCCGUGGUUCCCGUAAGGCGUGCUCUACUUGAAGGAAAUUGCAACGUAUGCACUUGUUGAAAAACAGAACAGCAUUUUGCCUCGUUAGAGGUUGCUGCUUAUCCCAGAUAAUCUCUGGAUUGUAACUAAUUAAUGUAGCUACACCUGAAUUUGGAGUUAGCUACAGGAGAGAAGGAGCUUAUUUGUAAUGAGGUUUUUUGUCUGAUGGAAAUGAACAGAUUCCCCAAAUGCUGUCCUUUCAUCCAGAAUUUCCUCACCAAGAACUGGAUAGUGUAGGGAUACAGACCGGUUCUGUUGUGCCAUAAGCUCUUUGCUUCCUCGCCAGGGCAUGUUAGCACUUGGCAUCCUUUAACCCAAGUCUGAAGGAAAAAGAUGUCCCUUUGGCUGGUUUCAGUGAUAGCAAAGAGCACGGUGUUACCAUUUGAAGCCAAAUGUAGUCCUAAACAUCAUUUAUUGGCUUGUUUUCACACUUGAUUAUGAAAAUAGCACUAAUUGUUGUCUGGUUAUUCUAGACUAUAUACAUUUUUUUUCCCCUCCGAGGUAAAAUGAAGUUUUUCUGAUUAACAGCAACAGUAAAAUGUGACUGAUUUAUUUGAGCGAGCUGCUUUUUGCCAGGCACACUGCAAUAACCAAAGUACUGUUCAUUAUGACAUUGUACUGAGUCACUUGUUGAUGCUAUUUGAGGGAGAGAAUUUGGUUAAGAAACUGGAACAGGAUGUUCAUUUUAUUUCAGUCUUUGUAAUUGUGAGUCAUCUGAUAGCUGAUGAAAUACGAAAACUCACAUUUUAGACAGGGCUUCUCUUAACAUAAUUUUGGGAUGCUGUUAUUUGGUAGAGGGUAGAAAAAUACACAAAGCUGAUUUUGUGCAAAGAGGUUAUUAUAGUUGUCACUCUCUGCCGAAGCACUCAUAAACUUAGUACAUCUGCAGCAUUUUGCCAUGUCUUUAGUUAGUUUGUUGGUGGGUUGCAACAAGAGUUGAUAUGUACAUAGCUCACAACUGUGCAGGUAUUUGGGUUUUGAGAACGCCAUUUCCACUGUGUGCUUUCUAGCUGGUUUAGGGAUACGGCUUGUGGGCUGCUCCCACUGGUGGGCAGUGUGGGGAAUCCCAUUACGUGCAUGUGAAGCAAAGGGAAACGGCUGAAUUCGUGUUUUAACUGCCGUUUGGAUAUAAUCUUAUAUGAAUAAGAUUAUCCUGCCUGUGAAUUCGCAGGACUGUUAUUAUCCAGGUGACUAUCGGAUUAGUAUGAACCAUCACAUUUGUAAUGCUGUCUCCUGUGGAACUAAUUGAUGCUGAUAGGAUCCUGAAGCUGAGCUUGCUUCUUUGUUGGAGCACAGAGACCUUCCAAAAUAAUUUGUGUGCAUCCAUUCAGCUUAACUUCAGGGUGGCGGGCAGCAAAUCUAUACCAGCCCAGCUUACUUAGGGUCAGAAAAUAAAGUAUAUUGGCUCUGUUUAAAGCCGUGAGAAGAAUUCACGUAGGAAGAACGUAAUUAUUGGGUCUGGAGUCUGACUAGGAUGCGCUUUGCUACUUCAAUAUGUCUGUGGACGAUAUGAGAGUUCCUACCGAAGGCUCCUUCCCCUCUUAAUAGAAAAGCAGGAUGAAUAUGGGGAGUGGAGGUAAAAGAGCACAUUUAAAUCAUCUGCAGCCGAGCGGUGAAAUUCAUUCAUCCCUUUGGCGCUGUUGCUAAUUUAUAUUUAAAGCAAUGUGAAUUUCAUGAGCAUUUUUUAAAAAAAAUCAUAUUUUAAAUUCAAUUUGCUGUCAACUCAUUUGAUGUUUUAUGUCAAGUCAUUUCCCAUAAACAGGUUACUGAAUAUCAAAAGACUUCUCAUGCAUAAUUUUUUGAAGGAAAUAAUAUUAUAAUAGAGAUGUGAGCCCAACCCUCCUGAGUCAGGAACAGUGCUGGGAUGGCACCGUUCCUUGGUGUUUUUCUUACUGCGCUCAGGGAGUGUCCUGGGCGAGUGGCAUUCAAGAGGCGUGCAGCAAUAAUAAGUGUUUUCUAGCCUGCAGUAGAUUGUUCUUCAAUGGACUAGUGAUAGGUAAUCUAUGAAGAAAGACAUCAGCAGGUUCUUUGCCAGAUAUCAGAAAGAGAGCUGGAAGAAAAUGGAUUAAAAUACCUCAAAUGGGAGAGAGCUUUCAAGGUGUACAGCUCACGCGGAGCUUAAUGGAGUGAGUACUAUUGAGAGCGAUGUUGAAAAACUAAGGCACGUUUGUUAAAAACUGUUGAAGAAAUAACUGCUGUCUUUCCUUGGCACGGGAUUCUUGCUUGUGCCCAGAGAUUGCUGUUGUUUGGAAGGUGCAGCGCUAUGUGAAACAGCAUCAGAGCUGUCGUGGAGCUGAAUCUUUUGCAAAAAGAAAGAAAUUGGUCUCUGGGUGACCCCAACUUUUUUUCCAGGUGCUCAGUACAGUGCCCUGGGCGUGAGCACGUAGCAUGCAGGUAAGCAGCUCGGGCUCUUGCACUAAUUUGAUGGAUUCCUAGUGCAGAGCAUCAGGCCAGGAAGGUUAUUGCAAUAGCUUUUUAUUUAUUUAUCCAUUAUUUGAACUGGCUGCGUUGUAGAAGUGAGCUUCUCCCUCUCUUUGAAAUCUGUUAGAGGAAAAGAAUACCAAGCCCCCUGGUUUUCCAAAACCUAUUUUUCCCCCCUAGCUUCUGAUUGCCCUGGAAGGAGUAGGUUUUCUUUUUGUUAUUGUUUUUUUUGGUUAUUUCAACUAGAGAAGACAUCUCCACCCUACAGCUAAGCGACAAAAUGCUCUCAAAAUGGGGUUUCUGAGCUUGAGGCGAGUCACCUGAAGUCCCUAAACUGGUUUUCAGCAGCCCUGACCCCAGUUAUCUUCCUUCAGCUGAGCACAGUAUUGUCUAACCUGGAGUGGCCGGAGUUUGCUCCCAUUUUUGGUGUCUUUGCAGCUUAUUAAGGGCCUCGGGCUGGCAGGGAGGUUUCUGAAAGGAGUUUUGUGGAAGGCUCAGGGAUGGAUGAGGUUGGCCUUGUUUUCAGGUGCUGGAACUUGGCAGUGUGAAGGACUGCAAUGGCCCACACUUGCGGCUCACCUCGGGUCUCCAAGGUUGUGCCACGCACAGGGUGCAGCCUUCCUGUCCCAUUGCUCUGGCCCAGGGGGAGGCCUGGGGCUAAAGGACAGGUUGGGCAUUUGGUGCUCAUUUCUCCUCCUCCUCGUUCCCUGGGCUGUUUUUGUUUUUAAGAAAAUCAAAGGCAUCCCUGAGCAUCUUAGGUGUCUGGGUCUUGCCUGAGCGUGGCCUGGGGGUGGCUCCUGGUUCUGUGUGGGGCAUCCCUUGCACCACAGGGAGACACGAUAUUUCAGUGCACCAAUAGGUGGUGUGAGAUUGCUGCUGUCUGUGGGAAUCUAGAGUCUUUUUUUUAUUUAUUUAUUUUUAUUUUUAUUUUUUUUAUUGUUGUUGGUAGUGGGAUCAGAGGAAUGAAAGCUCGGUGCCAGCUGUAAGUAACAGCUGAAUCAGAAUUUUAGUAGGUAGGGCUGCCCCAGCCCUUAGUGACGCAGCCAGAGUUUGUCAUUUGGAGCUCGGCAAAUAAAAAACAACCAAAAAAACACAACAGUAUCUAAAAUGACACUGGGAGGUCCAUUAAAUCCUUGCAGACUAAAUCUGCAAAUGCAGCCUGCUGAUCAGACCAUGGGGCAUCUUAAAGGGCUUGCAGGAAGGUUGUGCUGCAGCUCUGGGAAAUCUGAACAGCCUGUUGAGAACUGUUCGUUUUGGAAGAGAUGUGAAAUAGUACUAAGCUUCAAAGGGUGGUGAGGCACUGGAACAGGCUUCCCAGACAGGUGGGGGUGCCUCAUUCCUGGAGAUAUUUAAGGUGAGGCUGGGUGGGGGCUCUGAGCACCCUGACUGAGCAUAGGUGUCCCUGUUCAUUGCGGAGGGGUUGGAAUAGAUGGUCUUUCAAAUUCCCUUUCAACUCAAAUGAUCCUGUGAAAUUUAUUCUAUGUUUAUACUUCGUGCAGUUCUUUCUUCAAAACAAACCGUUGUGGAUUGCUGUGUGCAGGUCUGCCCCGCAGAACACACCUCUCUGCCCUCCAGUGUUUAAUGAAGGGAGGCUGUGAAGCCAAGCAGAGAGAAACGUAAGCAGUGCAGCCUGCGUGCAGGCAUAUUUUCUAAAAGGGUUUGUGUCCGUGUGCUGCAGCUGGCAGUUGUCUUGCUCACAGCUGUUCAGGGAAUGACAAUUUCUCUUUGUUGCAGCUUUCAAGUUUUUUAAGCGUGUCAGUUUCAUAUAGAAACAAUGACAAAAAGCAUCUUCUGGGCCGUUUUCAUCAGAACGGAAACAUCUGGUUGGGGAUAACGGGGUUCUGACAGCUUUUCAGCAGCGUGGUUGCUGAUUUACCCAAGCCCCAACAGGUAGCUCAGCAGAGGAGCGGAGCUCACCGGUGUCUCCAGGCUCCGUGCCUGCCAGCACGCUGCUCUCAUCGGUCAGGGACCGGGGCACGAUGGCACUCAGCAUGAGAUGCAGGACGACAGCGCUGCGCUGAGGCCUCUUCUGCUAAUCCUUGCUUAAUGCGGUGCUGCUGCCGUUGUUAGUGGCUGUUGCUGGACAGGAUUAAGGAAGAAAAAACUGUGAGAAGCAGGAUUGGUUACGCGUUAUCUCCCUGUAUCUUCCAAUCUCUCGUGUGGUAAGGCCUGAUGUUUUCAAGUCUCCCUUUCGAAAUGGCAGAUAGAAACAUAUUGCUGCUGUCUGGAACCUUUAAUCUUCCAAUGGAAAUAAGCUUUCCUUGCAGAAGCAGGCUGCUUUUUCAGGUGUUCUCAGAAAUGCUGAUGUUGUGCCUUGGUUGAUCUGGCUAAUUAAAAAAUGAGAUCUUGUCGAUCCAAACUAUUACUUUAAUGGCAAUGGAAAAAAUGCAAAGUGCAAGAAAACCAGUGUUAGAGAGAAAUGUGCCUCACUUCGUCCGUCUAAUUUAUACAGGAAGAAUUUAGACUUUUAUUGCGAGUCUUGAUAUCCGCAGACCCUCCAGUUAGGAACUGUUACUGUUUUAGUUACUGUUGGCUCCACAACAUUUUAUUCAAAGCCUGUCAUUACUUGCCCGUGUUCAGGGAGGUCGCUGUGAGCUCCGCGCUCCAGCUUGCUAAAGCUGCCGCGCUGGGCUCUGCUGUGUUUUGUACCUCUCUUCUCUGGAUCUUAUCGAAAAAUUCUCAGAAAGAGUGGUGAGGUUUGGCACAGGCUGCCCAGGGAGGUGGUGGAGUCACCAUCCCUGGAGGUGUGUGAGAAAUGUGUGGAUGUAGCACCGAGGGAUGUGGUUAGUGGGUGCGGUGGGGAUGGCUUGAUGGUUGAACUUAGCGGAGGUCUUAUCCAGUUUUAAUGAUUUUAUGGUUCUGCUCUGUGAUUCUGUGAAUACAGAAUUUGACUUGGAGGUGUGCGCUUGAAUACUUAAGCGUGCUGUUGGUCAGGGUGUGGAGGUUCCACAUGUGCAGAUGCUGCUGGCUCUGUCACUCGCUCGCACACCCAUUUGCCAAAAAAACCACAAAAUGAUACGCAACUCCCGGUAGUGCAAGGACUCCAGGUGCCUUAAUUAGAUUAAUUAGACUCAAAAUGGCCAACAUGACUACCUAGCAACAAAAUUGAAUUGUAUGCAAACAGUGCAUUAACUCCACUAGUCCUCCAAAGCAGCUCCCCAGUUUUUUCCCCAUCCCUACUUUAGCCAUUGGUAGGUAGUAGGGGUCUGACACAGAUCCUGCGUGUGCUUAUGGCAGAGCCUUUUGCCUUCCCAGGGCGGAAGCCUCAAAGAAAGGAUCUGUUCAGGUAUUCCUAUGCUCCUACACCCCUAAUUACGAUCUCAUGACUUAAUCAUGAGCUGCCUUUACCUCAGGUCUGCUUGUAGUGUCUUCCUCUUUUCUGCUUUUGACGCGUGGGCUUUGCCUUUAAUGUGUCGGUUAUUCACUUCUGCGGUGAGUGAUGGGACUGAAAUACCUGACGACAAGCAAAGAAUCUUACAAAUUCCUUUUGAAAUACACCUGAAAAUUGCAAAUUCAGUUCUCAGAUGCGAAAUCCAACUACUUAGCACCUAAGGCAUGCAACCAGGCGUGGGCUUCCUGCACAAACAGGUGAGCGGCACUGGUAUAACACACAGCUUCUCUGUUUGAGUCUUGCUGCGCUCCCAGAUGCAGGCCUACUUUCUUACUGGGGAGUCUCAAGAUAGUCAGUAUUUUCCUUAAGGCUCAAUCUUCCAGCCCUGUGAUUAUGAGAAACUGCUUUCAUUAACUAAAAUUGGCCUGAAAGCGUGAGAGCGAUCAACUGGCAGAUGCUGCUGGCUUGAAAACAGCAAGAUAAAGAUACGUACCCCUAAAUUUUAAGGCCUUUUGGCUUUUCAGGUUGUAAUUUCUUUCUGGGAAACCAUGUUGAUAAUUUUGGUGUGCUACUGACAACUUUUCACAGCUGGCUGUUGUUUCUAAGUUGGUACCUGAAAGAUGCCCCCACUCCCCUUCCAGGUUUUGCUUCUUCAGGAUGUAUUUGGUAGUGAAACACCUGAUCUAUUUGAUUUUGAAAAGAUUUCUUGUUAUAUAUGACUUUUGUGUUUGAGAUACUUUUUUUUUUUCUUUGACUGGAAGCUUGGGAUCCUUAGCCAGCCCUCUGUGAGCACAGCUGAGAUGUGCACACUGUGGAGAGCACGGCUUGCUGACAAAUCCCUCACCAGGCUGUUAUUUGCUUCUGGUCGCAUCACAAAUGCUCACGCUGAGGUCCAUUCUCAUUUGGAUGAUGUGCACGUGCAAAGAAAAUGAGUAUCUUAAUAUCCAUCGUGUCCCCCCACAGAAAAGAUCCUUAUGUCCCCCCACAGAUGUGACUUUUUCGUAGCAAUAAAAGAGAACAUAUCCGAAUAGGGAAGAAAACAUACGUUGGGAACUGGAAACCUUGGGAGCAGCCUAUUUGUAUUGCGCUCGUAGGCAGCACUGCAGAGCUUUGCUGCUUUCCCCUUGUCGGCAGUUUGCUGCACGAAGUUUUUCAGUGGUUCCGCUGCAAAUGGCGAGGUUGCCUGGUUCACAUCUAUGCUCGUGCCAGUGUCGUGAGGAAGAGCUGCUGCUGCCCGGUUGGUGCCAGAACUCUGCCUGCUUGCUGGGUAGGUGCCAGCGUUUAUGAACGACUUCCUCACCUUUGCCAACGUGAUCUUGCCUGGGCUGAGCUGCUCUCGUUGGGUUUCUGUAGCACGACCAGGCUCACUUUGCCCUCCUGUGGCUGACGGGGGAUGUUCAAGACGGCUCUAUCCCUGUACAUCAGUGCCCUCCAGGGCUGGAGUUGGCUCAGACUUUGCCCUCUGCUCAAAACAGCUCUGUGGUGAUUGCAUUCGGUAUUUAGGAUUACUUAUAAGAGUAAGCACAAACAUCUCAUCCUUGAAACGUUGUUUCCUAUUGCCACUUCAUUUUAAACUUGGCUAACUGGAAUAGCUGAGAGAGAAAAUUAGCGUAGGAUCCAUUCACUUGAUGUGAAGUACGCCCAAAUUCUUAUUGAGAGCGCUCCACUGCCAGUUCUUUUCCUAGGCCCUGCUGGCAAAAUAAUUCACAGUAAUGGAUGCUUCCACGGUGAGAGUUGAAGCAUUCAUUCACUUGAUAAAAUACAUGCAACUCUACCACAGAAUAACACUAAUGUUGUUAACCUCUCUCAGAACUGUUAGAUCUUCAGCUCUUUAGACCUCUGUCUAUUCAGCUGCUUGCUACUGAUGGCAAUUCAACUGUUCAUCUGUUUUCAGUUGCUGAUUUGUUUGGAGAAUCUGAUGAAAUACAUGGAGAGGAAACAAGACUGGGACGUCGAUCGCUGGCUCUGCAUGUUCUUGCCUUCUUGGAUGCGGCAGAGUGGUACUGAGGAACUGCUCCUGAUUCCCUCUCCUGCAGUUUCAGGGCAAGUUCUGUGCAUCUGGUGUUGGCAUCUUGUUCAUCAUCAGAAGCCCAGGUAAGAAUAACUGGAGGCGUUGCUUGAAGCAUUGUAAGAUUUUUCUAGUGACUCUUAAUAAUGCUCUGGAUGUUUCUCUUGGCUCAUGUGUCCCGCGUGCAUUACGGUCGUGUCAUCACUGCAGUGCAAACUGCUCUACAACUGCGCAGACCAGGAGCAGGAUGUGAGGUGGGUGACUGGGGCUGUAACGAGGGCCCUGCGAGUUGUCGGUGCUGUUGGCAAUUUUGUUAGUGCCCUUUUUAUCCAAUUUAUUGUGAGUGAGGGGGAAAACACUAGCCUUGAAAGUGCAGGAGAAAGGAGCUGUGCUGGAAGGCCCAUUACGGACCUGGGUGCAUGGCAUCGUGCUGUCGCAGGGAAGCACAAACGACAUGGGAAUUUUAUUUGUGUACUCUUAACUUCUGCUCCUCUUUUGACAUCGGGGAAACAGUUGCGCUCACUAUAUCUCUUCGGUUUGAGUAGCUGUUUGCGUAGCAUUAAGACAAGUGCGUUUUGGAAGCGGAGAGUUUUAGGUUACAGGAUUGUACUUGGUGAAGUUGAUGUUCAACAAAAUUCCCGUUUUGACAUUAAAAUCAGAAGUUGCACAAUCUUUUAGUGCUGCGUAUGCCUGAGCUACCCAUGGUACUCAACGCUAAGUCAUUCCUGCCAGCAGCAGCACUCUGAGGAGUUUAUGCAUUACAUCACCACCGGUAAUGACAAAAGCCAGGAGGAACGUUGAAACCUCGGAGGCUACACCCCCCCAGGCUCUGGUUAGCUCUGCGUUAAUAUCUGUUUUCUUAAUGCACAAGUUGGAAACAAAUAUGGCUUACGGAAGAGGUUUAACUGCUCCAGCCUUCAAUUCUUAAAGAAAAGCAGCUCGUACAGUAUCAAGGCCUCAGAACAGUGGGAAUCUUGACAGUGGUAUAUAGGGCACGUUUCCACUGCGGCUCUGUUUUGCGGGAGAAUUAACGUUGCAGUUGAUUUUUCUCUGCUUCUUUGGAUUGUGAAAACAAUAGACGUGCUGAGUGCUUCCAGACGGCUGCUUAGCACUGUGUGAUCAAUGGAAGCCUCCCGCAUGUUGGUGGAGGAGAUGAGUAACAUCCCUGCGGGAGCUUGGGCAGCCUGCCUCGGGGAGCACCACCCCCAGAGUGCCACGUCUCAUCAUCCGCCGUCCCUCCGUUCUCCCUGCAGCCUGCUUUCGGCGCUUUUCUAUGCGUGUAAGCUAGAACAAAGCUCCCAAAGAUAAAAUAGCUCAGUGGGCAGCCUGCUAGGGAGCAGCUACAAAAUGCCGCUGCACGUCGGGAGCUUCUCCAAUGUCAGAUGGUGUCACAGGAUGGUGGUGGCUGUGGGCGGUGUUCUCGCGUUACAGAUGUGAUAAACCUCUGCCAGAGUUUGACUAGCAGCUCUGGCUGAGAGGGAUGGCUGAUCAGAUCCUCUUGGAGCUCCCACCGAGUUACCUGGUGUGUAGGAAGUUUAUUUUCUUCUCUUGCAAACAUGAAUCAAUUGCUUUAAUAAGCAAUAGUUUAUUAGAGGGAAAUAGUCUUCAGGGAAGAGGAACUGAGUAACGUGAAGUACACUUAAUUUUAAAGGGCUCUAAUUGCCGCACAGUCCCGUCGGAGGCGGCUACUUGUUUCUCUGAACUGUUCAAGUUAAUGACCUCGGGACCUAUUUUGUGUAUGUCUGGAAGUCACCGCAUCCAUAUUGUGUGGCUUCAUUGUCACCGGUUUACAGUAAUAGCCCUGGCGAGGACUGCUUUGUAUCUCCGAAGCAGUGGGAAAUACUGCAGGUGCUGUCUGUGCGUCAUGUAUAGCGUUCCUCACAUUGAUGCCACGGGACAUUCAUUCAUUCCUGGAUAUGCAAACUGCCACGGUUGUGCUUGUGCAAUUGAAGGGAUCUCUUUUACCAUAGAGAAAGAUGUAUGCAUCAGGUGCGUCACUGAAUGACCUGGCACUCGCUCAUUAAUAGUUUCAGUUUUUAAUACCACUUUGACAGCUUGUUGGAAAGCAGAUGUAUACAUCCCCACAAAUACCAAUACAUGAAAAUCCCCCUUUCAGUAAGGGUGGAAAGUUAAUUACUUUUUGUCUCUGCACUAAUACCUUGCAGCAGCAUUGGCUACAAGUAGUGCCACGGAGUUUAUGUAGGAUAGAAAAUGAGCGUUCUCACAGCCUUGUAAUGUCCCGGUUAUUUCUAAGAUGGAUUUAAUGACAUUUGAGGUUUGUAAGUGCACUCGGCUUGUCUCAGCUCCUUCCUCUGUCCGAAUGGCUCUCACGAUUGCUGCCUCACUGAUCUCUGCUUUGAAUUUGCCAGCAUUUCUUAUCUGCCCGCUGUGGUCUGUUUGACACGUGCAGCUUGAUAAGUAGUAAUGCUAAAUAAUAAGAUAAUACUUCUGGCCCGUUAUAAAGGGACUUUCUGUUCUUUGGUAACUUAGAGCUCUGUAACGACCUGGUUUUACCAAGCCUCUUAGUGAUAAUGGAUAUUUUUGCCUUUAUGUUUGUAGCAGGAGGGCUGAGCCCAGGGUCUCCGGAGGCUGGAGACAAAACCUCAGAGCUGGAAGCUGCGUUGCAUCGUGUGGAUCCAGACGCCCACUUCAGCACUGCCCAUCUCUGCCGUGUGGAGAUGGCAGUGCUCGCAUGCAGCCCGUGCCGCUACAUGCAAGGCAAGCAGCAUGCCAGCAGGCUGCCCACGUCUUAACCUGAUUUUGGCGUUUUCUUUUUAACAUAUAUCCCCAAGAGAGUAGUCUUCUCCUUCACCUCUUCUGGGAUUUGGUAGCGUUUGAACUAUACUAGGAGCAAUAUGGUCUGUGUUGCCGUCUGGAUGCCUGCUUAUCGCUGCGAGACAAGUGCCUGGAAGCAAUCCUCUGGGGAAAAACCUGCUCGUUUCCACUCUUUACGCUUUAUUGUGGCAGUAUCUGAGAGCCACAGUUAUGGUUUGGAGUCGCAUUGUGUAGGGAGCAGAUUAUGAGCAAGCCUGGCACGGAAGAGGAUGGUUCCUUGGGGAUGGGCUAAGGUCCAAGACGCAGAAGGCUGAGUGCCGGGAAGGGAAGCUGGCGAGCCAAGCUCUGGCAGAGUUACUGCCUCCAGAGAGAAAUAAUCUUGCCAACGGAAGACAAUUAAGAUGCUGUUUAUUUCAUCAGUGUGUGAUAAUGGAGCAACGAAGUGGUUUCUCAGACCUCAAGUCCUCACUAGAGCUCUCGCAGGGGAAAGGAGCAGCAUGCAGCUGAGCCGGCGUACGAAAUGUCUCAUUUGCCACGUACGAGGGAGCGACCUAACUGUCCCUGUAAGCUACUCUAUUAGGAAAUGCCAGGGAACAACCUAGGAAAUAAAAAGAUUGGAGCAGGAGCAAGUUGCUUCUGACCUCAGAACAGCGUGACAACGGUGACCUGGGAAACGGCAAGUCUGUGCCACGAGAAGGAACAGUAAAAGGCACUAGUGAGGAAGGGAAAGCAAGGUAGCGUGUACUGCUUCUCAGCAGCUGCGUGAGAAUGGAGCAACUCCCGAUGAAGGCCAAACAUGAAAGAGCGGCCCAGCCAACAUGAUCGCUCGUAUCUUAAUAUAGCAGAACUCUUGGGAAAGCAAGGGGAUGAGGACCGGAAACGGGGAGGAAGAAAAGCGGGGUUCGCUUCCAAAAUCCAUUUGGAACGCAGAGAAAUCCUGCUGGCUCUCAAAGGGCCCUUCCUCCCAGCUCCCACCCUUCCUGCAGAUGGCUUCCUUCGUACGCGCCUCCCUCUAUCCACAGCCCACUCUUCCAUUUGUCAUCCGUAUUUUCCUACUCAUUUUCUUCGGCCAUGCACUUCUACCAUUCUUAAUUCCUCCCUCUGUUUUCAACUGAGUGGCAGGUACCUUACUGUUAAGACAUACUGGGAGCUGAUUAAGAAGAUCUAAUGGGUUUAUAGGAUUCUGUAAACUGUUUUACUUAUUGGUGAAAGAAUUUAAAAUAAUUCCAAAAUCUGUAAAAAUUUUGCUUUAUUUGGAACUAGAUGUCUAUAUGGGAACUGCUG